CUGUGUAUCUGACUGAAUCAAGUUCAAGUUCUGUGCAGUCUGUGAACUGUGACUGACCUGUGUGCUUUGCUCAAUGCAUUUCAAAAGGCAAAGACUACCAUGUGCAAACAACAGGAAUUCUGCAGAUGCUGGAAAUUCAAGCAACACACAUCAAAGUUGCUGGUGAACACAGCAGGCCAGGCAGCAUCUCUAGGAAGAGGCGCAGUCCACGUUUCAGGCCGAGACCCUUCAUCAGGACUACCAUGUGCUGUGGCAUUUGGCAGGGCCGACAGUCCCCAGUGCUAAGUCAGGGUUGUUAGCCUCGAGCUGAGCCCCGAACCUGGAAGACCGGUGGACCACUCUUAGUCUGGCCUCUACCCUUUGACCUGUUUGGCAUGGGUGACCCUACCAAGAGCCAAAGCAUAAAGCCCUGACUCCAGCCUGCCUAGAUCUCCGGGUCAUUGAGGUACACAAACCUCCAAACCACAAGUUGCUGCCUGGCCUGCCGAGUUCCUCCAGCAUUUUGUGCGUUUUGCUCUGGAUUUCCAGCAUCUGCAGAAUCUCUUCAGCUUUUGACUUUGAAAUGACACACAUUCUUUUGCAAGAAAGAAAACAAUUAGAAUGUAAACAAAAUUUUAGUGCAGAAUGUCCAUGUGGUCAUGUGU